GAGGAAGAGAGAGUUCGGUGGUGGUGAUAGAAAAAGAGAGGAGAGACGAGCUGUACUCUGGCCUGAAGGGGAGAGGGAGAAACGAAUGGAUUGACGGGUAUGAGAGAGAGACCCGUGGGAGAGGAGAGAGAGAACGAGAUGGGCGGAGAUUGUGGAACAACCGGUGGCUCUAAUUGGGCUUGUAGUGGUCGUGGUCAGUCGCUUUUGUGGUGGAGGAGCCAUGUCAGGUCGGAUCUGAGAAGGGAAAGGAGAAGAAGAGAAAGAAAGUGAAGGGAAGAUGGAGAUAAAGGCAAUGUGGAUGUGCAAACUUUAGAGGCUCUCCGACAUCGGAGCUGAUGUCUUUCCGGCAAGGUAAAGGAACAGUUUCGAGAUUGGUUAUUGCGGGCAUCUUUUGGAGGUUGUAACGAUGUCCGAUCGAGCUGAAACUUUGUGGAGUUGUUCAUGGUAUUGUAGGCUAGAUAAGCAACGGUGGGAUUUCAUUUUUAA